AGGGGUGUAGCUCUAAUGGUAGAGCAGCGGACUCCAAAUCCGAAGGCUGGGAGUUCAACCCUCCCCACCCCUG
rnacentral:tRNA from 1 species